rnacentral:rRNA from 1 species
UGGGGAAUAUUGCACAAUGGGCGCAAGCCUGAUGCAGCCAUGCCGCGUGUGUGAAGAAGGCCUUCGGGUUGUAAAGCACUUUCAGCGGGGAGGAAGGCGGUGAGGUUCAUAACCUCAUCGAUUGACGUUACCCGCAGAAGAAGCACCGGCUAACUCCGUGCCAGCAGCCGCGGUAAUACGGAGGGUGCAAGCGUUAACCGGAAUUACUGGGCGUAAAGCGCACGCAGGCGGUCUGUCAAGUCGUAUGUGAAAUCCCCGGGCUCAACCUAGGAACUGCAUUCGAAACUGGCAGGCUAGAGUCUUGUAGAGGGGGGUAGAAUUCCAGGUGUAGCGGUGAGAUGCGUAGAGAUCUGGAGGAAUACCGGUGGCGAAGGCGGCCCCCUGGACAAAGACUGACGCUCAGGUGCGAAAGCGUGAGGAGCAAACAGG